AGGACGAACGCUGGCGGCGCGCUUUAUACAUGCAAGUCGAACGAGAAGCCAGAGCUUGCUCUGGUGGAAAGUGGCGAACGGGUGAGUAACACGUGAGAAACCUGCCCCAAAGACUGGGAUAAGCCGAGGAAACUUGGUCUAAUACCGGAUACCUUCUUUUUAUCACAUGUUAAAAGAAGAAAUGCUCCGGCGCUUUGGGAUGGUCUCGCGACCUAUCAGCUUGUUAGUGAGGUAAAAGCUCACCAAGGCAUCGACGGGUAGCUGGUCUGAGAGGAUGUCCAGCCACAUUGGGACUGAGAUACGGCCCAAACUCCUACGGGAGGCAGCAGUAGGGAAUCUUGCACAAUGAGGGAAACCUUGAUGCAGCGACGCCGCGUGCGGGACGAAGGCCCUAGGGUUGUAAACCGCUUUCAGUAGGGACGAAAGUGACGGUACCUACAGAAGAAGCCCCGGCCAACUAUGUG
rnacentral:rRNA from 1 species